rnacentral:lncRNA from 1 species
GUUCAUAUAAAUAAGUCUACAUAGCAUAUAAUCAUAGUUAUUAAAGGUGCAAGGUGCAAAGAAUGCUUUGGAGCCUUGUUGCAAGGUCCAGGUGUGCAACUGAGUCUUGACGCAGUGCACAAUAAAUAAUAUUAUUACUUUGGCAAUUCCUGCAUAAGACAACUAAUCAACUAAUAACAUAAAAUAUUUAACAUUCUAGGAUCAAUGUUCUUGAAAUUCAAAAAAAACAUAAAUAGAUCUAAAAAUAUUAUAAUCCCAAGCCAUAAUGAUAAUCCUACAUUCCCCUAAAUUUUGAUAUCCCUAGAACAACCACAACAAUUAAACAACUACUCAUCAUUAAUUGUAACAUAAUCUCCAUUUUCACCACCCUCAUCAUCAUUGUCAUCAAAUUUUUCUUGUUUCAAUGGUUCUCUUGUUCAUCCUGUUGAUACGCCUUUCCAAUGUCAAGUUCCUCUUCCUCAUCUCUAAGUAAUAGAGGAGUAUUGAUUCUCAAACUAGAAGAUUUUUUUUUUUGCACACUUGAAUGAUGUAGACAUCAUUUUUUUUUUUUGCCUUUCCUCCUCUAGUAUUGUAGGCAUCUUUUUCAAAUCCAGCAGCUCUUGAAACUUGCUUCAUGUUAAUUGACCAUUGUCAAACACAAGGUCAUGAUUAGCGUCAUUUGACUCUUCAUCCAUCUUAAUUUCAUCCUUCUUCAUCAUAUGCUCUUGAAUUUCCUCACAAACAUGGUAUGGACAUCUGCCACAACCAGGGACAUUUUGUUCCCCUCUGACAAUAUGUUACUUAGCACUAAAAAUCCCUCUAUUUGUAAUUUUAAAAAUUGCAAAUGAGAUCAUUUAUAUUUUUUGGGUCAAGCAAGCUAAAGUAUUUCCAUCUGGAUGUCUGUUAGAAUUUCUUUUGGUUUUAGAAGCACCAGAACUACCCAUACCACAACAAAAAUGCUAUAUAUGUAAUUGUAAUUGUAGUCACUUAACAAAAUUCCUAAUUCAUGAAAAGUUAACUGGAUGGAUGGACACUUGGAUUAUAGUAGAAAUAGGUUCUUUACUGGCAACCAGUGUUGUCACCCGAUUGCCUAGGGAGAGAGGCGAGGCGAGGCGAGGCAAGGGGUAGGCACCUUUGAUACCUCUAAUUGAGGCGUCUUCAAGUAGGUGCCGCCUAGGCGCCAAGACGCAGGAAGGCAAGCUGAGGGCUGGGUGAGCGCCUUAAACUUAUUUUGCUGUUUCCCUAUACAACUAUUAAAAAUUAAGUUAAUAAUUAAUAGAAGUACAAGUAUGGGGAAAAAUAAAAAAGGAGAGUGGCGGGAAAUUGGGAAGUUGGACAGUCAUUAUAGGUCAAAUCUAAUGUAUAAACUAACAAAAACUAAGCCUUAGUCCCAAAGUAGUUGAGAUCGACUGUUUCCAAUAUGGAAAAAAGGAAGUGGCUCGAAGUUGGAAAGUUAGAUAGCUAUUAAAUAAUUAGGUCAAAAUCUAACAUAUGAAUAAGGGAAGGAAAAAAAAAAAAGAAAUUGGCUGGAAAUUGGAAAGUUGAUGGCCAUUAAAUAAUUAGGUCAAUCUACUCUAGCAAUUAAAUAAAAGUACAAAUAUGUGAAAAAAAAAAAAAAAAGAAAGCUGGCUGGAAAUUGGAAAGAUGGACAACCAUUAAAAAUUAGGUCAAAAUCUAACAAUUAAAUAGGACAGAUGAGAAAAAAAAAAAAAAAAGAAAAAAGAAGAAAGUGGCUGGUAAUUGGAACCAAUUUAGAAUUCUACAUUGUUUAGAAUUUCACUUCACUCUGGUGAGUGCCUAGAGUAGCACCUAGCGCCUUGGGCAAUGGAGGACCUUAUUGCCUCAAGGAGGCUUAGUGUUACGCCCCGCACUGCAAGCUGCGCAAGAAUGCAAGGCAACCUAGAACUAUAUAGGCAAGGCAUUAGAGAGGUGCAAAUUGGGCUGCCAUAAUAUAACAAGGCUUGAGAGAACCCAAGCCCGCAUUCUAGAAUUCUCUACACUUCUCCACACUACUCCACACAAGGAGAUAUUUUGUGUAGUGUCUACAUUAUUCUAGAACUCUCUAUGUAAUCUAGACCAUUGAUUCGUGUAGGCUAAAUCAUAACCGUCCAUUGAGGAGGUGGAAGUGGCUAUAAAUACCACCCCUCACUUCAUUUGUAAAUCAACCAAGAAAACCAAGCUUAGCCAAGCAAUUCAUGUAAUACAAAGCAUUUGGGUAGUAAGAGUUCUACAACAAAGCUCUCUUGUGUUCUCUUCUCUACUUAGUUCUCAUUUCCGCUGCAUUACAAUCCCAAAGGCUUACUUAGCUCGUCCUAGCAACCAAAGGCGACUAAGUGCCGCACGGAUAGGCAUAGCAAAAUCCUAUCUCCGUGACAGGUGGUAUCAGAGCAGGUUCCGUCCUAGGUCCCAAGCCCUUUGCCUUGAUCAAUGGCAAACGAUAAAGCUCAAUUGGUUGUUGCGGAGGAACAACAACCUGAGCAGCCAGAGGCAGUACGAGGCCGUGAGCCGGUGCGCACUCGAUCUAAGAGGGGGAAGUCUAAGGCACGAACCUCACCCGUGGAUCAUGUGGAGCAAAGAUUUGCAGCUCUUGAGCAAGCUGUGUCUUCUCAAGAAGCUUUUGUGGGAGAACUCUCCGAACAAAUCGACAAUGUUGUUCAGGAGAAUGGAGAGAUCAUUCGAGCUGCCAAAUGCAUGAUCACCGAGCUUGGUAGAUCCCUACGAGAGGAGCUUCAAACCCUUGCUGGUAGGAUAAAUGAGGUACGUACAUUCACUGAAUCUGAACUUAGUGCCUUACGUGGUGAAGUAGAUGCUAUCCGUUCUGAAUGCCGGAUGCACCAAAGAAUGAGUAGUCCUGCGUCGACUAGUGCUACCACAAGUCAUGUAGCACAUGGUUUGAAAGUACCCAAGCCUGCGACGUAUGAUGGAACGCGCAGUGCCUCCAUGGUGGAAAACUUUCUCUUUGGCCUUGACCAGUACUUUGAGGCCAUGGGGGUAAAUGAUGAUGCCGCUAAGAUUGGCAAUGCCCCCACAUUCCUUCGGGAUGCUGCUCAGUUAUGGUGGCGAAGGAAGCAUGCGGAGCGAGAAAAAGGCACUUGCAACAUCCAUACAUGGGAGCAAUUCAAGUCCGAAUUGCGAAAGCACUUCGUGCCUCAUAAUGCGGAUACUGAAGCAAGGGGUAAACUACGUCGUCUACAACAAAGAGGUAGCCUUUCCGAUUACAUUAAGGAGUUCACCACUCUUAUGUUGGAAAUUGACGACUUGUCCGACAAAGAUGCUCUCUUCUUCUUCAAAGAUGGGUUAAGAGAGUGGGCGAAGGUGGAGCUAGAGCGGCGUAGCGUGCAAACACUUGAUGAUGCUAUUGCCGUAGCUGAAACUCUAACAGACUACUCCACCCGAGUUGAGAACAACAAGCCCAUUCCUAGCAAGAGUGGGGGAGAGAGUGAAGACGAGGAGAAGGACCAUCAUCGCAGGGAAGAUGGUUCGCCCAAAGCUCUCGAGGGAAGACAUGAUAAGCAGUUUAGGAAGCAUAAUUUCAGACCUAAACCUUGCUUCCUAUGUGGAGGGCCGCAUUGGACAAGAGAUUGCCCCGAUAAGGAGAAAAUAAAUACGAUGCGUGACAUCUAUAAAAAGGCAGUGAAUGCCAUGGUCACUGAGUGCAAUAAGGAGAAACAGGCGACAGAGGAACACAAAGCCCAGAUGGGUUCCCUACGAUAUUUGGGCGCAAUAUCUCUUCGCACUCCCAAGGAGGAGGAAGUGACAAAUCAUGAGCAAUCCUCGCCAAAGUCUGCCGAAACGAUGGAGGAUAAGUCCAAAGACAUCACACCUCCACAGUCACCAAAAACACCUCCUAAAAAGGAAGUUAAUCACCAGGUUGAGCUGGAGCCAAGUGCUAAGCUGCCAGCCAAAUCCUUUCCUCGAAAGUCACCUCCAAAGACGGGAGAACUAAGGAAGGCCCCAAAAUUGGGAGAACAAAAGAAGGCCGAUGUUGCCACUGACACAUCAAGUCAUAAGGCGAAGCUAGCCAACACCAGUGCUAACGCCUCACAAAACAACCCACGGGAUGACACCCGUAAACCUCACAAGCGUGUGAGAGAAUGGCAUAAGGAAGCAGACGAGAUUCUUGCUUGUCUCAAUAAGGCUGUUCGGUUUAUAAAGAAAUGGGCCAAGAGGCGACCGAAGAAGUACGCCAAAGGAGACAAGGUACUCGUCAAACUUUGCCCUAAUCAGCUCAAGUCCUUACAAAAAGAUCAAAAAGGGCCAGUGAAGAAGUACGAGGGACCAUUCCCUAUCAUCAAACGAGUAGGGAAGGCUGCAUAUCAAGUCCAACUGCCUACCGAGUGGAAGAUUCAUAAUGUCUUCCAUGCUAGUAUGUUAAAACCUUAUCAUGCAGAUGGCAAAGAUCCAAGAAAGGGCGAGACCACUAAAGCGCCAGUUGUUGUUACUAAAGCAAAUAAGGAGGUUGACAGCAUCCUCAACUCACGAGAAGUAUGGCGACGCGGAGUGCCGAGCUAUCGCGAGUACUUGGUCAAGUGGAAGAACUUGCCCGAAUCUGAAGCUANNNNNNNNNNNNNNNNNNNNNNNNNNNNNNNNNNNNNNNUGUUACGCCCCGCACUGCAAGCUGCGCAAGAAUGCAAGGCAACCUAGCAAUUUAUAGGCAAGGCAUUAGAGAGGUGCCAAUUGGGCUGCCAUAAUAUAACAAGGCUUGAGAGAACCCAAGCCCGCAUUCUAGAAUUCUCUACACUUCUCCACACUACUCCACACAAGGAGAUAUUUUGUGUAGUGUCUACAUUAUUCUAGAACUCUCUAUGUAAUCUAGACCAUUGAUUCGUGUAGGCUAAAUCAUAACCGUCCAUUGAGGAGGUGGAAGUGGCUAUAAAUACCACCCCUCACUUCAUUUGUAAAUCAACCAAGAAAACCAAGCUUAGCCAAGCAAUUCAUGUAAUACAAAGCAUUUGGGUAGUAAGAGUUCUACAACAAAGCUCUCUUGUGUUCUCUUCUCUACUUAGUUCUCAUUUCCGCUGCAUUACAAUCCCAAAGGCUUACUUAGCUCGUCCUAGCAACCAAAGGCGACUAAGUGCCGCACGGAUAGGCAUAGCAAAAUCCUAUCUCCGUGACAUUAGUGCUUCUGACAGCACUACUAGCAACUUAUUUAUUAAAGUAGAUAUAUAAAUAUAACAUUAAAAGGACUAGAAGUAUACUAUAACAUCCAAAAUAAAUCUUAUGUAAAAUCUAGACCAGAAUUUAAAAAUUUUUGAGCUUUUGAAUUUGAAUUUGAAUUUUCUUGAUUUCCUUCUCUGCAUAAAAACAUGCUUAGAUAUAGGGCUGUAACACCAUUACUAGUUGCUGAAGGUUACUGACAUGUUAUAUGCAAGAGUCCUUUGCUUAAAGGUUCUCCAUAUUAGCUGUAUUUAUAAGUAAGCAUCGUCAACUGAUUGUUCUUCUAAUUUGACUACCA